ACGAACGCUGGCGGCGUGCUUAACACAUGCAAGUCGAACGGAAAGACCCUGCUUUUGUGGGGUGCUCGAGUGGCGAACGGGUGAGUAACACGUGAGUAACCUGCCCUUGACUUUGGGAUAACUUCAGGAAACUGGGGCUAAUACCGGAUAGGAGCUCCUGCUGCAUGGUGGGGGUUGGAAAGUUUCGGCGGUUGGGGAUGGACUCGCGGCUUAUCAGCUUGUUGGUGGGGUAGUGGCUUACCAAGGCUUUGACGGGUAGCCGGCCUGAGAGGGUGACCGGCCACAUUGGGACUGAGAUACGGCCCAGACUCCUACGGGAGGCAGCAGUGGGGAAUAUUGCACAAUGGGCGGAAGCCUGAUGCAGCAACGCCGCGUGCGGGAUGACGGCCUUCGGGUUGUAAACCGCUUUCGCCUGUGACGAGGCGUGAGUGACGGUAAUGGGUAAAGAAGCACCGGCUAACUACGUG
rnacentral:rRNA from 1 species